rnacentral:rRNA from 1 species
AUUGAACGCUGGCGGCAGGCCUAACACAUGCAAGUCGAACGAGUGGCGGACGGGUGAGUAAUGUCUGGGCAACUGCCCGAUGGAGGGGGAAAACUACUGGAAACGGUAGCUAAUACCGCCUACCAUCGGAUGUGCCCAGAGGGGAUUAGCUAGUGGGUGGGGUAACGGCUCACCUGGGCGACGAUCCCUAGCUGGUCUGAGAGGGUGACCGGCCACACGGGAACUGAGACACGGUCCAGACUCCUACGGGAGGCAGCAGGGGGGAAUAUUGCACAAUGGGCGCAAGCCUGAUGAAGCCAGGCCGCGUGUAUGAAGAAGGCUUUCGGUUUGUAAAGUACUUUCAGCGGGGAGGCGUUACUCGCAGAAGAAGCACCGGCUAACUACGUGCCAGCAGCCGCGGUAAUUC